GAUGAACGCUGGCGGCGUGCUUAACACAUGCAAGUCGAACGAAGCACUUUUACAGAUUUCUUCGGAAUGAAGUUUUGGUGACUGAGUGGCGGACGGGUGAGUAACGCGUGGGUAACCUGCCUCACACGGGGGGAUAACAGUUGGAAACGGCUGCUAAUACCGCAUAAGCGCACAGUACCGCAUGGUACGGUGCGAAAAACUCCGGUGGUGUGAGAUGGACCCGCGGCUGAUUAGCUAGUUGGCAGGGCAACGGCCUACCAAGGCGACGAUCAGUAGCCGACCUGAGAGGGUGACCGGCCACAUUGGGACUGAGACACGGCCCAAACUCCUACGGGAGGCAGCAGUGGGGAAUAUUGCACAAUGGGGGAAACCCUGAUGCAGCGACGCCGCGUGAGCGAAGAAGUAUUUCGGUAUGUAAAGCUCUAUCAGCAGGGAAGAAGAAAUGACGGUACUUGACUAAGAAGCACCGGCUAAAUACGUGCCAGCAGCCGCAGUAA
rnacentral:rRNA from 1 species